UACAGAGGUCCCAAGCGUUGUUCGGAUUCAUUGGGCGUAAAGGGUGCGUAGGCGGCGCGGUAAGUCGGGUGUGAAAUCUCGGAGCUUAACUCCGAAACUGCAUUCGAUACUGCCGUGCUUGAGGACUGGAGAGGAGACUGGAAUUUACGGUGUAGCGGUGAAAUGCGUAGAUAUCGUAAGGAAGACCAGUGGCGAAGGCGGGUCUCUGGACAGUUCCUGACGCUGAGGCGCGAAAGCCAGGGGAGCGAACGGG
rnacentral:rRNA from 1 species